rnacentral:rRNA from 1 species
UACAGAGACCUCAAGCGUUAUCCGGAAUCAUUGGGCGUAAAGCGUACCGAUAGGUGGUUUAGAAAGUCAGAAGUGAAAUCUUAAGGCUUAACUUUGAGACUGUCUUUUGAAACUUCUAAACUAGAGGGGCAAAGAGGAAGCUGGAACGAACGGUGUAGUAGUGAAAUGCGUUGAUAUCGUUCGGAACACCAAUAGCGUAGGCAGGCUUCUGGGUGCCACCUGACACUGCUAGGACGAAAGCGUGGGGAGCGAAUGGG